rnacentral:rRNA from 1 species
AGAUUGAACGCUGGCGGCAGGCCUAACACAUGCAAGUCGAGCGGUAGAGAGGUGCUUGCACCUCUUGAGAGCGGCGGACGGGUGAGUAAUGCCUAGGAAUCUGCCUAGUGGUGGGGGAUAACGUUCGGAAACGGACGCUAAUACCGCAUACGUCCUACGGGAGAAAGCGGGGGACCUUCGGGCCUCGCGCCAUUAGAUGAGCCUAGGUCGGAUUAGCUAGUUGGUGAGGUAUGGCUCACCAAGGCGACGAUCCGUAAUGGUCUGAGAGGAUGAUCAGUCACACUGGAACUGAGACACGGUCCAGACCUCCGUACGGGAGGCAGCAGGUAGGGUAAUAGUGGACAAGUGGGACGAAACGUCCUAGGACUCCGAGCCAGUCGGCCCGUGGUAGGU